rnacentral:lncRNA from 10 species
UCCAUAACACCAUUACUACCAGGAGUCAACAGUGGCCAAGUCUAUAAAGCUCUGUGAGAACAAGGAACGUAUCUGUCUUGCUCCUUGUAAUCCCUAGUAGCUGUUCUUGGGACACAGAAAGGAAUUUAGUAACUCCCUGUUUCAUCAUAUUGAACUGGGGCAGUAUGGAACACUGCUGACAGGCUGCUGCUGCUGCUGCUGCCAAAUCAAAUGUUUGGCCAAGGACAAUUCCAUACAUUCCUUGGAAGGAGGCAAGAUGGGUGAUAGGAAGAACCUGAACACUGGUUGAGAAACGUGGGCUCUGGCUCUAUUAUCAUCAAUCCUAAACUGAGCUGCUUCCUAUUAUAUUCGUUUCAUUACCUAGACUACAGGACCUCAAGCUUUCUUCAAGUAAAUACGGUAUCUAUGGGAGGCAGAGUCUAAGAUGCCCCCAAAGAUCCUGGUACACCUGAUACUCACACCCUUAUGUAGUGCCCUUUCCCGAUGAACCAGGGUUGUGUGUGUGACCAACAGAAUAAAGCAAAAGGGAUGGUAUGUCGCUUCUGGGAUUAGGUGAUAACAGAUGUUGUGGCUUCUAUCUUGGUCAGCUGGCAUGUUUCUGUCUGUGUUUCUAGGACCACUAGCUCUGGGGGAAGCCAGCUGCUAUGCUGCAAACAGUCCUAGGGAGAGGACAAUGUGGCAGGAAAUAGGCCACCUGCCAACAGCCACCUGAAUGAGCUCAGAAGCAGAUCUUCUGGCCUGCUCAGCUUCAGAUGAAUGCAGCCUCAUGAAAGACCCUGAGACAAAACCACCCAGUGUGAGCAGCUUGAUCAUCUCCAGGGGCCCCUCGUUCAUCCUGAUGAAGCCACUGCCACAUCUGCAGAGCACCACAGCUAUGGCCAUCUCCUUGUAUGUGAAGAUCUGCACAGACUGCAGCCAACGAGUCCUUAGAUGGCAUGUCUCCAGGCAUAGAAACAUGAGGUCCUGGGAUAAUGUCUUUAUGGGUCUCUCUGGAGAAGCUCAAAGGGCACCUGUUUCAAAGGGCAACUUCCUUCUUGGAUGAAGCAUCUUGUAGAGAAGACAAUCAAUGGCCAAGGUAGGUAACAGACACCAAGAUACUACACACGCCUCUAAUGGUUCCCUUAAAGCCUGAGCUUAAGCAGUCUGGGCUCUACUUCAAUCAUAUUCUAAACAUCUAAACCAAAAGACUGCAAUUGCAAAUAACAGGGAGACAAAUAUUCAAAAGGCUUUUAAGCAACAUUUUCUGCUACAGGCAACUGCUGAUGGUUCUUAUCUGAGUGCAGUCUCUUAACUGAUGUGAUUACUUGAAUAUUCAAAAUAAAUUAUCAUUUGAGGAAAUUAUCAAUUGAGUUCUCCAACCUAAUUUGUGCAAAGUAUACAAAGGCAGUGAUACCUUAAGCUGAAAUUAAAAGACGGUGGAGAAACAUAAUAAAGAUUAGUUAUGCAACCCCCCAAACGAAAAUGUCUUAAAAGAUUUUAAUUCAAGCCUGUGUAACAUAAAUAAGGCAUAUAACACAAAAACACAUUUCUUUUUUAAAACUCAAUCUACACGCCCACAUUUUAUAACUGUUGUUUGGGUGUGAGGGUGAGUGAGGAGAGGGAGAAGCAAAGUUAAAUGUGUAAAAAAUGGGGGAAAAUCCUGCUACAAUACAGCAUUUUUCAAAGGGACACACAGUCUAGCAACUGUGUAUUCAUCUCCUCUAUAGCAUGUCUCUGAAACCAACAGUUGUUUUAUCACCUGUUCAGAUUCCAUGUGAAUAUAUAAGCCACCCCAUGAAUUUUGUGAUUCUCUUAUUUUAGGAAUGCUGAUACUUAUAGCCAUUACAAUGUUGCCAAACCUAGUGUCCCACACCCAGAAAGAAAACUCAGUUCUGAAAGAGUCUAAGGAUCCUAAGAGAACUGAAGGUGGUGGCAGACUUGUCUAUAGCCUGAACACCAUGGCCCAGCACAGUGGCCCUUAAUGGGGCCUUGUAUCAAAAUGACUUAAUGUCAUUCUCUAUCAGAAUGUUUUCAAAAUAUAGUCACGCAUCGCAUAAUGACCUUUAAAUCAACAAUGGACCACAUAUACAAUGAUACUCCUGUAACAUUAUAAUGGAGCUGAAAAACUCCUAUUGCCUAGUGACAUCAUAGCACAAUAAAACAUUUGUGGUGAUGUUGGUGUAAAUAAACCUACUGCAUAGCUAGACCUGUAACAGUAUCACACAUAAAAUUAUGGACAGUACAUAAUGCUUGAUGCUGAUGAUAAAGAACUAUGUCAUUGGUUUAUGUAUUUGGUAUACUAUACUUUUUUAUCAUUAAUUGAGUGUACACCUUCUAAUUACAUAUUUUAAAAAGUUAACUAUGAAACAGCUUCAGAUAGGUCCUUCAGGAGGUAUUCCAGAAGAAGGCAUUGUUGUCAUAGGAAAUGACAGCUCAUGUGUGUUACUGCUCCUACAGACCUUUCAGUGGGACAAGAUGUGGAGAUGGAAGACGGUGACAUUGAUGAUCCUGCCCCUGUACAGACCUAGGCUAAUGUGUAUGUUUGUUUUAGUUUUUAACAAAAAAGUUUAAAAAACUUUAAAAGGAGAAAAAAAGCUUGAAGAAUAAGGAUACGAAGAAAUAAAAUAUUUUUUUUGCAGCCAUACAGCCUGUGUUUUAAGCUAAGUAUUAUUACAAAAGAGUAAAAAAGUUUAAAAAAUUUAUAAAAUAGAAAUGUUACAAUAAGCUACAGUUUAUGUAUUAAGGAAG